rfam:Pristionchus pacificus strain PS312 contig12574, whole genome shotgun sequence.
UCUUCAUUUCGCACACUCUCUCUCGCCAGGUCAGAGUGACGAGAGAGUGUGCGAAAUGAAGAGA